CUUGCCAAUGUGCAAUUGCAUC
rnacentral:siRNA from 1 species